ACAGAUCAGUGCCCUUGGUGACAUACGGGUAGGGAAAUCAAAAUUAUCUCAGAGUACCAUCCUGUACCCUCUCUUAUCAUGGUUGUCCAGAAACCCUUUACUGAAUUCUUCUACUCAUCUUCAAAUUGGUCUUCCUACGCUGGUGGCCUUCUCUCUGCUGAAAUGAAAUACACAUUGUGCUGUGCA